UCGGAGACUUGGGGACAUUCUUUAACCUAAAUUGACUCCCUCUUUAAUGGUACCAAACUACACUUGAAUCAUUUUCCUUCGCCAUCCUUGUGAGCUUGGAGCAGUUCAUCUGUCCGAAUCGAGCAUGAACUAAGUAACAGAGAGAGGGGACGACAGAGAAGAAAAAUGUUCCUACGGAGGAUAGCAAGGCCAUUAAUGAUGAUGGCGAAAGUGAAAGAAACAACAGGUAUAGUAGGUUUACAGGUAGUACCAAAUGCAAGGGAAGUUCUAAUAAAUCUGUACAGUAAAACCCUAGAAGAGAUCAAGGCGGUACUUGAGGACGAAGGAUACCUCUAGGCAGUGGAGAGCUUCACCCGCCACCGACUCCAUGUCUGCGUUGAGGAACAGGAAUUGGAAAUGAUCGAGAAACGGAUUGGUUGUGGUCAGGUUGAAGAGCUCAUUGAGGAAGCUCAAGAUGAACUUAAGCUCAUUGGUCAUAUGAACGGAGUUUGGCAUGAUUCGUAGUGGAGCUGAUCAUUCAGUGUUUUAUCGCCAUUCUGAACCAAAUCUGUGUAUUUAUUUGGUGGUUUAUGUUGAUGAUAUUGUUAUCACCGGCAAUGAUCAAGAUGGUAUCACCAACUUGAAGCAACAUCUCUUUCAGCAUUUCCAGACUAAAAACCUUGGCAGAUUGAAAUACUUUCUAGGUAUUGAGGUUGCUUAGUCCAGCUCAGGUAUUGUUAUUUUUCAACGCAAGUAUGCUUUAGACAUUCUUGAGGAAACAGGAAUGAUGAGAUGUCGAUCCAUUGACACUCUUAUGGAUCCAAAUGCUAAACUUUUGCUAGGACAGGGGGAGCUACUCAGUGAUCCUGAAAGGUAAAGACAGUUGGUUGGAAAGUUGAAUUAUCUCACAGUGACUAGACCUGACAUCUCUUUUCCUAUGAGUGUUGUAAGUCAGUUUAUGACUCCCCCUGUGAUAGUUAUUGGGAUGUAGUUGUUCGAAUUUUGCGAUAUAUAAAGUCAUCUUCAGGUAAAAGAAUACUCUUCGAGGAUCGAGACCAUGAACAUAUCAUUGGAUAUACAGAUGCUGAUUGGGCAGGAUCACCCUCUGAUAGACGUUCUACAUCUGGAUAUUGUGUUUUAGUAGGAGGUAAUUUGGUGUCCUGAAAGAGUAAGAAACAGAGUGUGGUUGCUCGAUAUAGUGCCGAAGCAGAAUAUCGAGCCACGACUGCAGCAACUUGCGAGCUGGUUUGGAUCAAAUAAUUGCUGAGAGAAUUAAAAUUUGGAGAAACUGGUAAGAUGGAACUUGUAUGUGAUAAUCAAACAGCUAUUCAUAUUGCAUCUAAUCUAGUGUUCCAUGAGAGGACCAAACACUUAAAGAUUGAUUGUCACUUUGUCGGAGAAAAGAUACUCUCGGGAGAUAUUGUUACAAAAUUUGUGAAGUCGAGUGAUCAACUUGCAGAUAUCUUCACCAAGUCCCUCACCAGUCCUUGUAUUAAUUACAUUUAUAAUAAGUUUGGUACAUAUGACUUGUAUGCACCAGCUUGAGGGGAGUGUUAGAAUAUGAAUAGGAAUAACAUAUUGAAUUCUACUUAGGAAGGGAUUGUAAUGUAGUGUUCUAUUAGGAAUAAGAUUGGAAUGUAGUGUCUAUAAAUAGGGUCUCAAUCUAAUAAUUUAGAUACAACAAUUCAAUAAUAUUUUCCCUCAUAUUUUUCACAGCAUAGACAAUGAACACACAAAAAAUAGAGCCAAAGUAUACCUCCUAAAACUAAAUAGUAAUCUGCUGAUAUGAGUUUCUCACCUGUCAUAUCAUAACCGUGAUUGCUAAAUACCCAUAUCUUUCCAUUACAGUCGUGGACUGCCUGAGACAUCUUCAAUCUUGUUAUAUUUAUUGAUUAUUCUACAAUGUUGAAAAGGUUCUACUACAGUUACAAAAGCAAAUUUAUGAAAAUUAUGCAAUAUUUGUACCUCUUUGAAAAGCUUUUUGUGACUUUAUCGAUCUUAUAUUUCAUAUGAAGGCUUUCAACAUUUAGACCCUUGCUUAGUAACCACCUUCCUUUUAGGUUGGACCCUGACAGAAAGAAGUGAAUCACUAUUCCCUUGUUUUUCACUUUUCCUUGCUGAUUUGGUUGCCUGUAUAACUCUUGGAGAAAGGUCACCAUCUCUGAAUAUUUGAUCUUCAUUAUCCUUUACUUAUUCUUCCUCACUCUCUGAUGUUUUUUUAUCUAUUUCAGGAGCAUGGGUUAUUGUGCUAUGCAAAAUCUUAUUAAGAGAUUCAAUUUGUUGCAGCCUUAUUUGCGUGUCAUCAACUUGCACUGCUGCGGACAUCUCCAUAAUAACUAAGUUCUCUGACCUUUGAAUUUGCUUAUAUGAAUCUUUAGUAAAAAACCCUACCUACUGCUAUACAUGUAGGAAAUUUCUCCUGAUUGCUAGUCUGUAACUGGCAUCCUGCAGAUAUUUUCGGAUCUGCUUUUGGCUGAUUUCCAGCCAUUUAUGGACUUCAUUCAUCUUCCAUUGUUAUCAAAUUAUUAUGGGAAUCUCCAUGGGCAUCAUAUUUAAAAUGGUUCUUCAACCUGCACUUCUGUGAUCAUCUCCACGCUGCUCAUUAUUUGAUCAGCUUCAGCUAUUUAUUUAGGCUUCCUAUCACCUCUUCCUUUUAUUGGUGGUUGUAAAUGGUAAAAUGGCUGAUUAAAUCAUUCUUUGGUGGACUGUUGUUGUACUUCGGAAUUGUUUAUAUGUUUUUCUUUUAUUGGUUGUUGCUA